GACGAACGCUGGCGGCGCGCCUAACACAUGCAAGUCGAACGGAGCUGUAUUGGAAGAAUCUUCGGAGGAUGAAGAUACAGUUUAGUGGCGGACGGGUGAGUAACGCGUGAGUAACCUGCCUUUCAGAGGGGGAUAACGUCUGGAAACGGACGCUAAUACCGCAUAAAAUAUGAGUAUCGCAUGAUAGACAUAUCAAAGGAGCAAUCCGCUGGAAGAUGGACUCGCGUCCAAUUAGCUAGUUGGUGAGGUAGAGGCUCACCAAGGCGACGAUUGGUAGCCGGACUGAGAGGUUGAACGGCCACAUUGGGACUGAGACACGGCCCAG
rnacentral:rRNA from 1 species